rnacentral:rRNA from 14 species
CAACCUUGAAAUACCAGCCUGACAUGUUUGAGGUUCUAACUUGGUCCCCUUAUCGGGGAUGAGGACACUGUGUGGUGGGUAGUUUGACUGGGGCGGUCUCCUCCCAAAGCGUAACGGAGGAGCACAAAGGUGGGCUAAGCAUGGUCGGACAUCAUGCGGUUAGUGUAAUGGCACAAGCCCGCUUAACUGCGAGACAGACACGUCGAGCAGGUACGAAAGUAGGUCAUAGUGAUCCGGUGGUUCUGUAUGGAAGGGCCAUCGCUCAACGGAUAAAAGGUACUCCGGGGAUAACAGGCUGAU